rnacentral:rRNA from 1 species
UACGUAGGGUGCAAGCGUUGUCCGGAAUUACUGGGCGUAAAGAGUUCGUAGGCGGUUUGUCGCGUCGUUUGUGAAAACCAGCAGCUCAACUGCUGGCCUGCAGGCGAUACGGGCAGACUUGAGUACUGCAGGGGAGACUGGAAUUCCUGGUGUAGCGGUGAAAUGCGCAGAUAUCAGGAGGAACACCGGUGGCGAAGGCGGGUCUCUGGGCAGUAACUGACGCUGAGGAACGAAAGCGUGGGUAGCGAACAGG